rnacentral:rRNA from 1 species
CACGUAGGGGGCAAGCGUUGUCCGGAAUUAUUGGGCGUAAAGGGCGCGUAGGCGGCUAGAUGUGUCAAAGGUGAAAUCCCUCGGCUCAACUGAGGAACUGCCUUUGAAACUGUCUGGCUUGAGGCCGGGAGAGGGUAGCGGAAUUCCCAGUGUAGCGGUGAAAUGCGUAGAUAUUGGGAGGAACACCAGUGGCGAAGGCGGCUACCUGGACCGGUUCUGACGCUGAGGCGCGAAAGCGUGGGUAGCAAACAGG